UACGUAGGGCGCAAGCGUUGUCCGGAAUUAUUGGGCGUAAAGAGCUCGUAGGUGGCGUGUCGCGUCUGCCGUGAAAGCCCAUGGCUUAACUGUGGGUCUGUGGUGGAUACGGGCAGGCUGGAGGCUGGUAGGGGCAAGCGGAAUUCCUGGUGUAGCGGUGAAAUGCGCAGAUAUCAGGAGGAACACCAGUGGCGAAGGCGGCUCGUG
rnacentral:rRNA from 1 species